GGAAAUUCCAUGGACAGAGGCGCUUGGUGGGCUACAGUCCAUGGUGUCACAAAAAUUUGGACAGGGCUGAAGCGACUGAGCAUGCAUACAUGCAUAUACAUUAUGACACAUCACUUCUCAAUAUUUAACAUACAUCACUUAAGAAUACAGAUAUUUGUUUUCAGACUCACAAUGUCGUUAUACCUAUUAAGAAAGCCAUCUAAAAUCAACUUAAUGAAGAAGAAAAAAUAAAAUCAACUUAAUGUUUAAAUCCCUCCCCAUCUACAGCUUUUUUAAAAAAAAAUCAAUUACUUUUUUUUAAUGGUUGUUACUUAUCUUAACUUAGAAUAGUUCCUCUCCCUUUUUUUUUUCUCCCAUGACAUUGACCUUCUGAAGAACUUAGGCUAGUGAUUGUAUGAAUGUCCCACAUUCUAUUUCUGUUUCCUCAUGAUGUUCAGUUUUUCCUCUGUCCUGGUAAUCCUCUGCCCUGGCUGCACAUUGGAACCACCUGUCUUGAUUAAUUGGCAGUACAAGGAAGGGGGAUUAAUUGGCCACUCUGUUCUCAUUGGAACUAUUUAAAUCAAAUUUAAAGCCUAGAAAAGAGAAUACCGAUGUCUGUGUUCCACUCUAAACCAAUUAAAUUGGAAUCGCUGGAGUUUAAGCUCAGGUGAUCCUGGUUUCAAAAUUCUCUAGGUGAUUCUGGUAAGUUAUCAGCACUAAGAACCGCUGCUCUAUCCUGUGGAUCCUAUAUAUUGAAGUUAGACUCAGGCUAUACAUUUUUUGUCUGGAAUACUUUGCACAUUGCAAUCACCUUGGAAGCUUUAAAAAGUACUGAUACAUGGGGGUCCACCCCAGAGAUUCUGAUAUAGUUGGUCUGGCGGCAUGGCCUAGGCUUUGGGAGUUUUGAAAUCUGCUCGGAUGAUUUUAAUGCAGCCAGGAAGACCCACUGCUUUAGAUUAUUUUCUUGUUCAAUUUGCAUCCUAUGAGGAGGCACACAAUGUCACACUAUUCCAUUAUUUGUGAUGCCAGUUUCAAUCACUGGAUUAAGGUGGUCACACCAGACCUCUGCAUCACCUCUUCAUCGCAAAUGUACUAGUGCUCCUGUUCCCAGAGAGUAUGGCUGAGUGCAGCCCUAAGCCUGCAGCCCUUGCUGCAGUGCCACUAUGCCGCAUCCAACUCUGGUUACCCUUGGACCUGUGGGGGCCCUGCUCAGUGAUUGGUCGACGCUGCAAUGGGCCCCACCCACAAGCAACCAACUGUCAAAGAGAGACCUUUUAGUGGUCCUGCUCAGUCAUUGGUCAGCACAGCAGUGAGCCCCGCCCACAAGCAACCAGCUGUCAAGGAGGGACUGUUAGUUGAGAGGAUUCAGCCAACCGAAUCAGGCAGUGGAGUGGUGGUCGUCAGGCAGAGAGUGAGGGGGUGGACUAGAAAGAUGAAUUCUGAAGUUGAGAAGAAAAUAAUUUCAGGAGGCACGUGCUCCGAAGGCUUCAAUGCACUUCUAGUCCCGGACGCCUUUAGUGCACAGUCGUCACUGCAUAAUGGAGCUUCCACUUUUUUUUCUCAUGCUAUGCUGAUGCUAUUAUAUUUUUGAGAGCCAGAAAUAUGUCUUAUCUGUAUACUGAUAUCCAUAUAUACAGAUACUAAUAUGUAUAUAAUAUUUUGACCUCUGUCUCUCUCUCUGUGUAUAUAAAAACCCUUGGCACCCUCAUCUUUAAAAAUUCUCAUAUUCAUGAAAGUAGAGUUGUUUUAAACCAGA